rnacentral:rRNA from 1 species
UACAGAGGUCCCAAGCGUUGUUCGGAUUCAUUGGGCGUAAAGGGCGCGUAGGCGGCGUGACAAGUCACUUGUGAAAUCUCCGGGCUUAACUCGGAGCGGCCAAGUGAUACUGUCGUGCUAGAGUGCGGAAGGGGCUACUGGAAUUCUCGGUGUAGCGGUGAAAUGCGUAGAUAUCAAGAGGAACACCUGAGGUGAAGACGGGUUGCUGGGCUGACACUGACGCUGAGGCGCGAAAGCUAGGGGAGCAAACGGG